GACGUAGGGCGCGAGCGUUGUCCGGAUUUAUUGGGCGUAAAGAGCUCGUAGGCGGCUUGUCGCGUCGACUGUGAAAACCCGCGGCUCAACUGCGGGCCUGCAGCCGAUACGGGCAGGCUAGAGUUCGGUAGGGGAGACUGGAAUUCCUGGUGUAGCGGUGAAAUGCGUAGAUAUCGGGAGGAACACCAGUGGCGAAGGCGGGCAUCUGGGCCAACACUGACGCUGAGGCGCGAAAGCUAGGGGAGCAAACAGG
rnacentral:rRNA from 1 species